CCUGUUCUAACUGGCCAGCCGCCAUCUUGCAACAUGGAGGAUAGAUUGCAAGUGGAGCCAAGAACAAAAUACAGCUGACUCUGAACAAAUCCUUUUCGUGACUUCUGGAUAAAGGACAACUCAAGCCCCUCGUUCCAGUGGCAGUGGAUUGAUGUGCAGCUUCCUAUGUGAAGGCAGAGCACACGUCUGUCUCUGGAGCUUCCUAGAACACAUGGAGAAGACAGAUACAGAGAAGGCAAUGUGAACACAGAACAGAAACAGAUGUGGUUAUGAGCCAAGGAAUGCUGACAGCCACACACAUUGGAAGAGGAACUCCAAGGCCAGUCUCAGGCCUUCACUCUGACUGUGUCUUCCUUAAAGCGUGGUGUGAAUCCACAGAUACCAGAAUCAGCUGGGCAGCUCUCUGACAAUGCAAUUUACUGGGCCCUAUUUCAAGCAAACAAAGUCAAAACCUUCUCUCUGGAAUUCAGAAAUCUGCAUUCAUGACGAUCUUCCCCAAUAAUUACUAUGAAAAAAAUGAAACGUUGAGCAUUCCUGCUUCAGAGCAGAGCUUUAUUAAUGGAAGAGAAGAAGCACUAUGGAGAAGAUAAAAAGUUUGUGUUGCUAGGAAAUGACACCCUAAGGACAGAUUAUGGCUAAGAAGAGAAAACUAAAGGGAGAAGACUUAGCAGUGGGAUCCAUUUAAUGAAGAACCAAAUAGUCUUGACUCAAAAGGCCUUGUGAAAAUUCCUGCAUAAAAUCUGACAACCGCAAAUUACCCAAAAAGAUUUCUAACUUGGAAUCACUAAGGACAAAAACUCCUAUAUUCCUGAAGCCCUACAAGCUGGAACUGGACAACUCGAUGUAAAUUUCAGGAGACAACCCCCAUGCGUGAUGUGUGGGCCACUAAGGGAGUUUAUCAAAACAUCCAAUGCCAUAACCAGAGACAUUCAAACUAAACCAAGAAAAUGUUUCAAGCUCAAAUCCAGAAAUCUUGUCAACUAACUGCCCUCUGAACUCAGAGACUGAGUUUAAAAUUUGUCCUAAGCCAUUAACCUUUGUUAAUAGCUUUUUUUUGUUUUGUUUAUUUUUUCUGGUUUGGUUCAUGAGGGCAUUUGUUAAGAAGCAUACUCUAAUCCCUUGGUAUAUCCUCCUGAUAGUUCCCAUUGUAAUCUCCCAGCUGCAUUCUCUCAAGGGUUUUGAAGGUGUAUUUGCAGCGAUUAGUGGUAUACUAGGUGGCCUCACUGUGAUUACAGCAACAACUGCAAGAUGACCAAAGGAAUGUGUCUUCCACAAGGCUGACAUUGUGACUUAUGAGUUUCAUGCUAAGACAAAGACAACCCUGCCAUGAUGAUGACUGACAGUAGUGCUGAUGCCAUAAAUUUUUAUCAAAUCCCUCAGUACAGGUUGAGUCUGAUCAAAAGGGGAAAGCUGUUCAGUAAAAUAUGUGGGAGGUCAUUGUUUUGGAUUAAGCUCCUGCACUAGGCCCCAACAGCCCAGAUCAAACCAGAAUGGAGUCACUCAUGCCAGAUGCCACAUUGUCAAACUGAAUGUAAAAAUAGGUCACUUGUUCAAAAAAAAAAGGAGAUUCACAGUAACCAAUUGAAAGGGGCCCAGUCAACCUAAGCUCACAUGAUAAGGAAGUCUCCUCUAGUUUAACGUAUGCAAGGAAAGUAGCUUUGAAAUCACCAGUCCACUUUUUGUUUCUUCUUUCUGCUUUCUUCAGCCUUUUCCAUUAUAAAGCCCACACAUCUGCUCAGCUCAGUAGGGCACCUUUCUAUUUCAUAGAUGGAAUGUCACUUGAUUCAUGAAUCUUUAAUAAAAGCCAAUUUGAUGUUUA